UUGUUGCGAAUUCGACGAGUGAUGU
rnacentral:sRNA from 1 species